rnacentral:misc_RNA from 1 species
GGCAGUGUAUGUGUGUAUGUGCACGUGCGUGUGCGCGCGCGCGCUUGCGUGUGUGUGUGUAUAUUAGUCAGAUCUUUAUUCUUAUGGUAGUUGCCAUUGUGUAGUCACUGGAAUAUAUUCAUGCUAAUGUUCAUAAAGCAUAUUUUUCUUAUUGCUUUCUAGGAGUUGGUUUUUUGGCAUUUUGAUUAAGUUCUUUAGGUU